rnacentral:sRNA from 1 species
UUCAUGCUAGCAAAUUGUCCAAUUUUUGUGACCAAUACUAGGAAACAGUUGAAUGCAUAAAAAAAUAUUCUUUCUAAUGUUCUACCAUAUUUGUGUGUGUGUGUGUGUGUGUGUGUGUGUGUGUGUGUGUGUGAUAUGGAGAGAGAGAGUAUUUAAGAUGCGGAUAUAGAACCAGGGUGCAUCCACUUGAAA